rnacentral:rRNA from 1 species
UACGAAGGGGGCUAGCGUUGCUCGGAAUCACUGGGCGUAAAGCGCACGUAGGCGGCUUUUUAAGUCAGGGGUGAAAUCCUGGAGCUCAACUCCAGAACUGCCUUUGAUACUGAGAAGCUUGAGUCCGGGAGAGGUGAGUAGAACUGCGAGUGUAGAGGUGAAAUUCGUAGAUAUUCGCAAGAACACCAGUGGCGAAGGCGGCUCACUGGCCCGGUACUGACGCUGAGGUGCGAAAGCGUGGGGAGCAAACAGG